GAUGAACGCUGGCGGCGUGCCUAAUACAUGCAAGUCGAGCGAACAGGCGAGGAGCUUGCUCCUCUGACGUUAGCGGCGGACGGGUGAGUAACACGUGGAUAACCUACCUAUAAGACUGGGAUAACUUCGGGAAACCGGAGCUAAUACCGGAUAAUAUAUUGAACCGCAUGGUUCAAUAGUGAAAGACGGUUUUGCUGUCACUUAUAGAUGGAUCCGCGCCGCAUUAGCUAGUUGGUAAGGUAACGGCUUACCAAGGCGACGAUGCGUAGCCGACCUGAGAGGGUGAUCGGCCACACUGGAACUGAGACACGGUCCAGACUCCUACGGGAGGCAGCAGUAGGGAAUCUUCCGCAAAGGGCGAAAGCCUGACGGAGCAACGCCGCGUGAGUGAUGAAGGUCUUCGGAUCGUAAAACUCUGUUAUUAGGGAAGAACAAAUGUGUAAGUAACUAUGCACGUCUUGACGGUACCUAAUCAGAAAGCCACGGCUAACUACGUG
rnacentral:rRNA from 1 species